rnacentral:rRNA from 1 species
GACAGAGGGUGCAAACGUUGCUCGGAAUCACUGGGCGUAAAGGGCGUGUAGGCGGGAAGGUAAGUCGGGCGUGAAAUCCCUGAGCUCAACUCAGGAACUGCACUCGAAACUACUUUUCUUGAGUGCCGGAGAGGAAAGCGGAAUACCUGGUGUAGAGGUGAAAUGCGUAGAUAUCGGGAGGAACAUCAGUGGCGAAGGCGGCUACCUGGCCCAAUACUGACACUCAGGUGCGACAGCGUGGGGAGCAAACAGG